AUUGAACGCUGGCGGCAGGCUUAACACAUGCAAGUCGAACGAGUGGCGGACGGGUGAGUAAUGUUUGGGAAUCUAGCUUAUGGAGGGGGAUAACUACUGGAAACUGUAGCUAAUACCGCAUACCAUAGGAUGUGCCCAGGUGGGAUUAGGUAGUUGGUGGGGUAAAGGCUCACCAAGGCGACGAUCUCUAGCUGGUCUGAGAGGAUGACCAGCCACACGGGGACUGAGACACGGCCCAGACUCCUACGGGAGGCAGCAGUGGGGAAUAUUGCGCAAUGGGGGCAAUCCUGAUGCAGCCAUGCCGCGUGUAUGAUGAAGGCCUUCGGGUUGUAAAGUACUUUCAGUCGGGAGGCGUUACCGGCAGAAGAAGCACCGGCUAACUCCGUGCCAGCAGCCGCGGUAAUAC
rnacentral:rRNA from 1 species